rnacentral:tRNA from 1 species
AGUCCUGUAGUGUAGUGGACUAUCAUUGUGGACUCUGGAUCCGCAGACCCCGGUUCGAAUCCGGGCAGGACUA